rnacentral:rRNA from 1 species
UACGGAGGGUGCAAGCGUUAUCCGGAUUUACUGGGUUUAAAGGGAGCGUAGGCGGGACAUUAAGUCAGUGGUGAAAGCACGUUGCUUAACAACGGAAUUGCCAUUGAAACUGAUAUUCUUGAGAUAAGAUGAGGUUGGCGGAAUGUGACAUGUAGCGGUGAAAUGCUUAGAUAUGUCAUAGAACACCGAUUGCGAAGGCAGCUGACUGGACUUUAUCUGACGCUGAGGCACGAAAGCGUGGGGACCAAACAGG